rnacentral:rRNA from 1 species
CCUACGGGAGGCAGCAGUGGGGAAUAUUGGGCAAUGGGCGCAAGCCUGACCCAGCAACGCCGCGUGAAGGAAGAAGGCCUUCGGGUUGUAAACUUCUUUUAUCAAGGACGAAACAAGUGACGGUACCUGAUGAAUAAGCCACGGCUAACUACGUGCCAGCAGCCGCGGUAAUACGUAGGUGGCAAGCGUUAUCCGGAUUUACUGGGCGUAAAGGGUGUGUAGGUGGGUCUGCAAGUCGGUUGUGAAAUCCAUGGGCUCAACCCAGGGCCUACAUUUGAAACUGUAGUUCUUGAGUGUUGGAGAGGCAGACGGAAUUCCGAGUGUAGCGGUGGAAUGCGUAGAUAUACGGAAGAACACCAGGGGCGAAGGCGACCUACUGGACAAUAACUGACGCUGAGGCGCGAAAGCGUGGGGAGCAAACAGGAUUAGAUACCCUUGUAGUC